GUCCCUGUCGCGCAAUGGAUAGCGCGUUGGACUUCUAAUCCAAAAGGCGUGUGUUCGAAUCCCACGUGGGAUG